CGCGUAGGCGGAUGGUUAAGUCCGGUGUGAAAGAUCAGGGCUCAACCCUGAGAGUGCAUCGGAAACUGGGCAUCUUGAGGACAGGAGAGGAAAGUGGAAUUUCCUGUGUAGCGGUGAAAUGCGUAGAUAUAGGAAGGAACACCAGUGGCGAAGGCGACCACCUGGACUGUUACUGACGCUGAGGCGCGAAAGCGUGGGGAGCAAACAGGAUUAGAUACCCGUGUA
rnacentral:rRNA from 1 species